GAUGUUCACACCUGGAACGGUGAACCGUGACGGCUAAAAUUCACUGAGUGAAAAUCAAAAGAUUAGAAUUACAGAAUGCAAACCUUUAAAUACCUUGAAUUUAACCACGCAUUCAACAGGUAGUCACUAAGUGUCACAGUACAAUACACAUUGUAUUAAUUUUACACAGUACUAGCGAGAAAUGUUUGCUAGACUGAAGUAAAAGGUGAGAAUACAAACAUGCAUUUUUUAUACACUAUCAGUUAUAUAUGUUUGUUGAAAAUAUCCGUCGGAAAAAAAAUUCAUAAAAAUAUUCUAUUGUAUGAUUUACUUUUAUUACUAUAAUGACUAUAAUCAUAUCAGAAAUCCUUAAAAUAUAAAUCGUACAUUUUUUUUUAAAGUUGCACGGCUGAUCACUUUACUUUCUUAAUUAUCAGUUGGUUAAUAGCUACGCCAAAAGUCGUCGAUGCGCUUUAAAUCGCGUAAUUAGAUGAUUAACGAACAAGACUUAAAUGAGACUAAUUCCACUCCCGGCAUGCAAAAAGACUUAAACUACGUCACAGAAGUCAGGAAGUUCGAAUAAAUAAAAUUAAUAAUUCCCAAUUUUCUUCUUUAUUAGUUUUCAUAUCCAGAUAAAACUUGGUGAAUAUGUUUUUUAUGGUAUUAUGAACAUAAUAAGAUGAUAAGUAAAAAAUCGCGAAUUUUCCCUUUAACAACUCACUUCGAACUUCUUAAAAAUAAAAACAAACCUAUUUUGCACCAAUAAUGGUUCCCUGUAAGUUGAACAUACAAAUAAUGUUGCGAAAUCUCUCAAAUUGUCACAAAUUAAUAUUUGUUCGUGAUCUUUCAUGAUAACUCCUUUCUCGCACAAAAAAAAUCUCGAUUGAAUUAAGAAAUGAUUAGAAACACAUGUAUUUCAUCAGAACAAUAGACAAAUAAGAAUGUUCAAUAAAAAAAAUCUAACACAUUAUUGUAACUACAAUAUAAACAUAUAAACAAAUGUAUCAUUAUAACAGUUGUCUAGAAACUAGUUAAGGAUAAAAAAUGACAAAAUUGGAAAGGUACGUGUAACUAGCGGAAUGCAUCAGAAAAAUAUCACAGCAAAAUAUAACCCUGCAUAGGCUUGCCAUCAAUUGUGAAAUACAUUCAUGUUUAUGGAACUUAAAAUCAGCGAAAUCUCUUUAAAUUAAAGAACCUUAGUGAGCGCGCUCACAUACCCCACGUCCUCACAUUGUCAUUGGAGAAAUAAAAUAUGUGUAAGAAAAAAAAAUUGAAUCAUAAUUUCCUGUCAAUAUGCACAUCUACAUAGUAUGUCCUUAUUAUCUACAAAGUUUCAUGAAAUUAUGUUGUGUGGUUUCAGAGGAGUUGCGAUGAAAAACUGUUGCAGAAGACAUUAAAGCAAAUAAGUUCAAAGGGGCGUAACUCCUAGCAAAAAAAUUGAACAGUAAUUUCCUGUCGAUAUGCACAUCUUCAUAGUAUGUCCUUAUUAUCUAAAAAGGUUUCAUGAAAUUCUGUUGUGUGGUAUCAGAGGAGUUGCGAUGACAAACUGUUGCAUAGUACAUUGAAGCAAAUAAGUUCAAAGGGGCGUAACUCCUAGAAAAAAAAUUGAACCGUAAUUUCCUGUCGAUAUGCACAUCUACAUAGUAUGUCCUUAUUAUCUAAAAAGGUUUCGUGAAAUUCUGUUGUGUGGUUUGAGAGGAGUUGCGAUGACAAGAAACAGGACUGACGGACGGACAGACGGACAGACGGACGGACGGAUGGGUCAAAAACAUUAUACCCUCCGCAACUCGUUGCGUGGGG